UACGUAGGUGGCAAGCGUUGUCCGGAUUUACUGGGCGUAAAGGGCGUGCAGGCGGUCUGUUAAGUGCAGGGUGAAAGCUCCCGGCUCAACUGGGAGAGGUCCUUGCAUACUGGCGGACUUGAGGGGGGUAGAGGAAAGUGGAAUUCCCGGUGUAGUGGUGAUAUGCGUAGAUAUCGGGAGGAACACCUGUGGCGAAGGCGGCUUUCUGGGCCCUACCUGACGCUGAGACGCGAAAGCGUGGGGAAGCGA
rnacentral:rRNA from 1 species